UUUUUGUUAAUAUACAUGUAAUUUUAUGACUACUGUUUAAUAAUCUCACACUAAUGUAUUGUAAGAAUCCUCUGAAAUUUAUUUAAUGGUACCUUCACCCUGCUGCAUGUUAGAUCAGCUCUGUGUUUUAUUGUUUGAUUUCAGCACUUCUGGGGACCAGUUAUUAAUUGGGGUCUUCCCCUAGUCGCAGUCAGCGAUAUGAGGAAGAGCCCCGACAUCAUCAGCGGUCGAAUGACCUUCGCUCUUACCUGUUACUCAAUGAUAUUUAUGAGGUUCUCAUACCGAGUCCAGCCCCGAAACUGGCUCCUUUUUUCUUGCCACAUGGCCAAUGUGACGGCACAAGUGAUCCAGGGAGGCCGGCUCAUCCGACACAAAAUGCAGAACAAAAAUGCGAAAUGAGCCUUUGCAUGCAGUAGAUCAGAGCACAGACGGGUUCGUGCAGAUAAAGGCAAAUUGAGGAAGAUCUCUACCAGAUCCAUGCAUCAGAUCAGGAGAGCAGCUGCUAAAAUGCCAUUAUGUAGCAGCAAACAGAUAUUUGAAGCUGCUGGUGCCUCUGGAGUCCCAUGGACAUCAAGGUGUAGAGUCCUCCACUGCAACUGUGCAUAAACCUUCUAUUCUGCCGCCACUAACCAGUGCUCACAAGCAGAAACUGUCCAAAUACACAAGUUCAAUGGAUGCAAGACUUGUGAAGCUGCUAUCAAAUAAGGAGUCCUAUGUCAAAAUGUGACGUGACCUGUUUGAUUUCAGUACAUAUGUUGCAAACACAACAAAUGACAAUUUUCAGUUCUUUGCAACUUAUAAAGUGUUUUGCAGCUUACUGUGCAUAAUAAUUUGGAACAGUUCAUUGUAAGUGUUUUGUUUGACAAAAAAAUACUGUAAUCAUUAGAUUUGUUCAAUAAAAUUUGAAUUGCACUCAAUAGUUGACAACAUGAGAA